AAACCAUGCAUCGGGCAUUUUCUAAUUAAUUCCUUGAAUCUCUCCCAAGCUUCAUACAAAGUCUCAUCCUCAGAUUUCUGAAAAGAGGUAAUAUCAUUCCUUAAUUU
rfam:Gossypium raimondii chromosome 2, whole genome shotgun sequence.